GGGGAAAGUCUGCGGGAGCUCCACAGCCCAGCAGCCGGGAUCCAACCUAACCCCAAACCCGCGCCCUAUAAUGACGUCAGGCGGUGCGCCUCCCGCGAUGCCUCGCGCGGAGCCGGAGCCGGAGCGCGCGCUUGGAAGUGGGCCGGCUCUGGGCGGAGGCGCGGGCCCCGCGGUCAGACGGCCUGGGAUCUUCGGCCUUUAUUCACUAGUUGGACCCCUCGAAACAGGUCACGUCUCUUGUCCCUGCUCACUGUGGGCGGCGAGAGACUGCCAGGUGAACUCCAAGGCCUGAUUUUCCCUCUCCAUCUUCACAGAGCUUGAUUGCUGAAGUGCAGGUGGCCAUGUUACAAAAGGAAGAACUAAAUGUUUGUGAAAGCUGAUGCCCCAGAAGGCCCAGGAUAAGAAGUCAGAGGUGUGGGCUGGACGUGGUGUGUGUAUUAAAGCAGUCCAGGAUCCUGGCUCUUCUCUUGGAGUCUCAUACCCCUCAUCAGGAAUGCAAGAGAUUUGCAUUAGUUCCCCGAUUGACCAGGGAUGGAACCCGUCCCCCAUGAAGUGGGAGUGCGGAGUCCUAACCACUGGACCGCCAGGGAAUUCCCAGAAGGUUUCUAAGAGACCAAAUUCUCACCCUUUGCGAUUGCAUAAAUGAGGACACAGCUGGGGCGGGCAUGAGUCUGGACAAGCCCACGCAGGGUUGAUUGCCCUGUUCUGUGGUCAAUGACCCCACACUUCUCCCAGUGAUUGAAGAGGGACCCCUAGAGUCAUGCAAAUGGAACAUAUCCAU